AGAUGGAUCUACGUUGUUAUAAAAUAUCAUCUCUACCUUGAACUCCGCAAUUAAGUGCGCCUGGGCUAGAGCAGUAUUGGGUGGGUGACCUCCUGGGAAGUCCUUGUGUUGCACCCU
rnacentral:rRNA from 1 species